rnacentral:lncRNA from 1 species
ACCUGACCAUAAGCCGCUGGACAUGGCGUCUCGCUUGGUUGCCGGCGAGCGGCUGGUGCGCGCCUUGGGCCCCGGCGGGGAGCUGGAGCCAGAACAGCUGCCCCGGAAGCUGCGGGCAGAACUUGAGACCGCGCUAGGGAAGAAGCCCAAGAGUGGUGAUUUUCCCAGUGGCUCCGCGCGCCUGGUUUCUUUCCGCUUGAUCCGAGAUCUGCAUCAGUACUUGAGAGAGAGGGGUGAGCCCCAGUCUCCAACCCGGACUCGCCUCCGUUUUUCCAGAGUCUUGUCCUUCCUGAGCCUUUUCCUACCUCUGUCAUCGCUAUGAGGGGGGGAAAAAUCCAUCACUCUCCUUCGCCCGCGAACGGCCAUCUAGCCAACCCAAGAGUCACCUCAUAAACCGUAGGGCAGCCCACUGGCUUAACAACUUCCAUGGGGAUUUCUCGUGGAUGACCAAAUUUACUUGUGCACUUUUUUUUCCUCUUGAAAGUCUCCUCGUGAACUACCAGGCCUACUUAGGGCCGCCUGAUCUUUGAGGAAGACCAGGUCUACUUAGAAUAGUGAGCUUGUCCUGUUUGGGGAUCUGGAUUUCUUUCCAUCUCAAAAACAAGUUAAAUCUGAUAGUUUAUUUUUUGUUUUGUUUCUGUUUUUUUUUUUUUUUUUUUUUUUUUUUUUUUUUUUUUUUUUUACAUAGGAUUAUGGAAAGCUCUGUUCAAAGACCUGAACUGGAGUAGCAUCUGAGUCCUAGUCCUAGCUCUGCCACAAACUUCCCUUGGAGAAGUCAUUUCCUUUCAUUGGGUCUCAGUUCCCUUAACUGUAAAGGGAGGGACUAAGACCACACUGGCUUGUAAGGUCUUUUGCCAUAAUUAGCAUGGCUUGCCCAGACAUACAAAAGGUAGACUAUAGAGGUCAUCUAGUACACUGUCCUCUGAGUAUUUAGCAUUACUGUGACCGAAAACUAUAUUGGGCAGUUCUGUUGUGGCUGCAGCAUGACCUAAUCUAAAGGCAAGUGUAAGUGGCUUACGUGUUAGUUGUGACAUUGGCAAGAUAAUUGAGAGCUGACAUUCAAAAGUCAGUAUGCGCAUUAGGAGAUACUUAUGUGGAAUUGUCUUUGAUUCUUCUCAAUUGAAAAUGAUCUUGGAGAUGAAUUGAGAUACAAAUGGCCAUACUUUGUUUUGGUAGAAAGAAUAGAAGGACUAGACCCUUCUCUGAUCUUAAUCCUUCGACCUCAGUUCUAUUUAUCAUUAUGUUUGUGGAAAUCUUUUCUUUCCAGGUUCCACACUAUACCUUCAUGAGCUCCUAGAAGGCAGUGAAAUCUAUCUCCCAGAGGUUGUGAAGCCUCCCCGGGUAUGUAAGGGAUAUAUUUGUGAGAGUGGGUAUUGGCUGAAUUGGACUUAUUCGUGAUACAUUCAGAUUUAUGAAUCAGUCUUUGGGCUCAGACAUUUGUCUUUUAAAUCCUUGAGAGCUGGGGUGGGAGAUCUGGAUAUUGUUCUGCUUUGACUGCUUGGAAAACAGGUUCCCAGUACCCCCGCUCCCUCCCCUCCCCCCCCCACACACACAAAUUUUCCAAAACAGUGGGGGCAGAACUGGUACAUGAAUCUCUUGGCACCCUUAGCAGUGCUUUGCCCCCUGAGACCAGUGGUUGUUACUUGCUUUCUAGAAAGCUGGGAAUAUCCUUGUCAUUUGAUUUUUCUGCCCCAGAACCCAGAGCUAGUUGCCCGUUUGGAGAAGAUUAAGAUACAGCUGGCCAACGAGGAAUAUAAGCGGAUCACCCACAAUGUCACCUGUCAGGUAAGGGCCUGCUCUUCAGUACCUGGACUGAGUAGCCCCUGAAAGCAGAGCCCUGCGCUGGGAAGAGGUACAUAGGGAAGAAACAACAUGGAAGCUUGGUUUUUAUACUCUUCAGGGACUAUCGAAGCUCUGUGCUGCCUACAAACCCAGUCUAAUUCCCAACUCCCUAACUGAGACUCUGGGCUCAGAUGGUGACUGAUUCUUAAAAGUGGUAGAGAUGGAGACAAGCCUUGGAGCCUUUCUUCUGACAGGGCUCCCUAUUAUUCUGUGGCAUGCUCCUGCCCUGGAGCAGGAGAGGAGUAGAUGGGUAUUGGGAGCCUAUGCCCUUCCUCUGAAAUGCUUGAUCUGUGGUCCAGAAAAGAAUCCAGUCGGUCCCAGACAACAGAAUCCAUGGAGAAGGCAGAGUUAAUGUGUUGGGGAAUAAAGAGAGCAGAGCCCAGACUGACAAAUGGGUGUUCUCUGGGCCACCUCUGAGCUGCUUCCAUUCUGAAAUCAUUUGCAUUUUCUUUUUCCCAGGAUUCGAGGCACGGUGGGACUCUUAGUGACCUCGGAAAGCAAGGUGAGCUGCUAGGCAAUCAGAUUGCUAAAGCCUCUCCCUGGGAGGGGUUGGUCAUGGCACUUCUUUUCCACCCCAGUGCUCUGGGUUUAAGCCUAAGCUAUUCAGCCUUGCCGUUAGAGGGUAACCCACCUGAUGGGAGAGGGGCAGUCCUGAGAUAAGAGGGCGGGCCUCAUGGAGGAUGCUGACCUAAAGGUUUCUUCCCUGGGUUCUUCCCCAAAGUGAGGUCAGUGAAAGCUCUGGUCAUCACCAUCUUCAACUUUAUUGUCACGGUAGCAGCUGCCUUCGUCUGCACUUACCUUGGAAGCCAAUAUAUCUUCGCAGAAAUGGCCUCAGUAAGUAGGCACUGGGCAGGGCAGGGUGCCCCAGGUGGGGGUAUUGGUGGAAGAGGGAGGAAGGUAUGUGAAGGUGCCUUGAACAAGUUAGGUGUUAAACAAACAUUUAGAGGAGGAGCAUUGAGCUGUCCAGCAGUCAUGGAGGUACAUAAUAACCUGAAGAGAAUCCAGAUCCUCUUUUCUUCCCUUCCCCCCAUUCUUCUUAGAGGUGCUGGAGGCUGCAGAGUUGGAUGCUGACCUGCAUCCCCUAAGCCUGGUUCUCUCUCUCCCCAGCGGGUCCUGGCUGCAUUGAUCGUGGCCUCUGUGGUGGGUCUGGCCGAGCUGUAUGUCAUGGUGCGGGCGAUGGAAGGCGAAUUGGGAGAGCUUUGAUGGUUCCUCAUCAAAGUGUGGAGUGGAUUUUGGGAGACUCCAGGCUCCCAGCUGCCAGUCACUGACUCUCAGUCAACCUGUCAGGCUCUUCGUCCUCAGCUCCGGUUAGAGGGCCAAGCCAAGGCCACCUGCUGGUCCUGCAGGGGGCGGGGAGGGCAUCCUCUGUCAAUUUCCAGAGGGGCAGUAAAAGAGACUGAGACAACAACUGAAAAGAACUGGUCUUUCAGUACCUUCUCCUGAACCCAGUGCCCAUCUGCCUUCUCCAGUCCAUCUGGGCACUGCUGAGGCUGGGUUUUUCCAUCAGGAGUAAAUAGAAUACAGGCCUUCCAAGAAGCAGACAGUACUGCCUUGAAAUUGCCCAAGUGCAUAAAUUGAUGGUCACCCUUGCUGCAUACAUCCUUGAUGCAGACCUGUAAUUUAGAUCAGUAGGCUCCAAAAAAACAAAGGAUUUCCUUUCUCCAGCUUGUGCCAGAAGAGGAACUGAUCACAGGACAUCGAAUAAGAGAAAGGCGGGUUGGUAUGGGAUGGUGAAAUUGGGAGCUAGGCAGCUACCUUUCUGGAAUCUUCAUUUCUGUCUUCAUCUUCUUUCUUCCGCUUGUCUUUUUCACAUUUUCUGUAUGCUUCUGCCCAUCUCUGCCACUCGUCAGCCUUCCUUAAGCUUCCCACCUCCCCAUCACCCUUUGCUCUGCCUCCAAAAAUGAAACCAAUUUAGAUGGCAAAACAGUAUGUGUGAUUUUAAUUGAAAAUCUCUUUGUGCUUGUGUGUGUUGGUGGGAAGAGUAUGCCUACCGUGGAUUGUCUCAGCUAAUAAAGGGAGAUGUUCUUUGUAGGUAUGGAUUGUUGUCAGGUCUGACUGUAUAUGUGAACACGAAGAGACAUACAUGUGAAUAUGUACGCGUAACAUGAGUAUGUACACAUAUUGUUAUACGUAAGCCUAAUGGAGGAUUUUUUAUGUAGGUUCUUAAAAUAUUUGUGGGGGGCGGGGUGCUAAAAAUAGUUUGUAAAUGUGCAUAGUUGAGUAACUGCUUUCCGUGGUUGCUUUUGGUCUUCACAACCAUCCUGGAGGUUGGAAGAGGAAAUGGUUUUAGGCCCCUCUUCCCGAAGACAAAGGCUGAGAGAGAUCAGAUGACCAGCUGUGGUCCUUCUUCUGUAAAGGGAGCCAAAGACUGUUAGGUUGUCCUGAAGUCCCUGUGUAAUGUUAAACUUGCAAGAACUUAGAUUAAUGGUAUAGUGAUAAAGUCUGUAUACGUGUACUUAAAAACUAUUAGCGAUAGUUAUUUAUUCAAUAAAUAUUUAUGGUAUCCACUGUAUUCUUAUCUCAAGUCUUGUGACAACACAGAAGCCCAAAGAUUCCUUAGUUCUGAUCAUCGUUCAGGGUCUGCUCCUAAUGGUGUACUCCUUUCCAUUUAUUCACACCAUGAACUCCUGUGGUCUUUUGUUUUCUCCCAGGGUACUCUUCUGUUCUUGGAAAGAACAUUGGCUCAGUAGACAUUUGCUCUACAGUGUUUGCCAGUUUCUGCCAGUCUGAGCUUCUCCAGACAAUACGUGAGAGAGAGGGAGGGUUCAGGUCCUUCUCUUCCACCAUAGAUCACUUUGUUGAGAAAUCUUAGAAUUUCUAUUGUUGAUUAAAAGGAAUGUCAACUGUGAGAAGAAGUGCAGGUGGCAUUUUAUAAUGUUUCUGGCAACCCAGUGUAGUUUAGAAGAUGCACUGAAUUUUUGUGGGGGUUCGUGGCUAUACCAGUGCUGAACUCUGUGGGCCAGGUAGCCUGUUGUGCCCACAUAGCCUUAAGCUUUCACAUCCCCCAGAUACCUGGAUUAGAAGGUUAGAAGACUUCCAAAUGUUAGAUAAAGAGCAGGCCCCCUCAAACAGCUUCUGACCUAUGGCGUCUUCUUAUCCUGAGAUUGGAGUCCUUCCGCACACACACCCCUUUCACUAGAAUGGGGUCCUUACCUGAUCCCAAUCCCCUACUCAGAAGCCAACAGGCUUCUGUGGCAUCAAACACUUACUGAGAACUCCUUUAUGAGCCAAGUACUGUGCUAGCUUCUGGAGAUCAAGGGGUAGAAGACCUAGUUCCUGCCAAGGAGAUCUGCACCGUGCAAAGUGGUUUUUCAUCCGCAAGGGCAGAGCCAGAGAUAGCGAUCAGGUGGCCUGUCCUCUGGCUCUCAUUGCAGUGGAGGGAACUCUGCUCUCCGCCGCUUACUCCAUCUCACCGUCCCAUAUUUUUCUCCAGUGCAGUCUGGGCCCAGGGCUUCCCAAAGGAGAGUGCUUGGCAGGAAGCUAGAGGAACAAGAAGUUUGGGGCCUUCCCAGUUUCUCAUAGCCUGCUGUAUGGAGAGGGAGAGGCAAUUUGCAUGAAUUGAGAGCUUUUAUAGCAUGUCACACAUCACAUGUAGCCCUUUACUUAACAUCAUUGCUUCUCAUGCCCAAAAUGGAGAGAAGAUACGUUAUCCACCCCCACCCCCACCCCCACCCCCGCUUGCAGGCUCAUAGACUUUCAGAGAUUUGCGAGGUUACGUAGCAGAGCCAGGAUUUGAAUCCAGUUUAGACCCUCUAUGCUUUUCUGGAGCAAAGCAGCUCCAGAGGUGAAGGCAGCUGGAGUGUCCUGGAAUCAGUAGGAGCAGGAACAGAAGGUGCCAGCAGAGGCUCCCAUCUCCCCAGGGUCUGUUAGCCAGAGCCCUAAACCCUUCAAUUAACUGUCCCCCUAACUAAUCCCAGUAGAAGCCUGGGUAAUACCUCCCACCCAGUAUCUGUGUGGAACCUGACCCUGUUUAGGGAUUAGGUGAUGGAGAUACAUUUCAAAAGCAAACGGCUCUUGUCCCCAUUCAUUUGCAGCACACGACAAUCCAGAUUAAGGUAUAGAGUUUGGGUUUUAUUUAGAGAUUAGUUGGUAUUACAGAUGACAGUGAUAUGAAAACCCAGUGUUGCCACGCACACACCCCCCCGCCCCAUGCUAAAUCUGUCAGGUUGUCUCCACGGCCUCGGGUCAGAGGGCAGCCAAUCUGAUCUUUGCGAAAAUUAAAUCAACAUAAGCCCGGAGCUUUUCUUUCCACUGUAUUACUCUAAUAUCACUUCCUCUUCAGAUCCAUGGUUCUGAUUAAUUUGUCUAGGUGGUGGUAGGUCAGGAGAGGGGGCCUGGGCUACAAAAGGGUGGGUUCCCCACCAUCUGGGAUGAGUUUCAGUUCUCUCCUCACCAUACUCACUAAGCAGUUAGCUAAUGGGCUAAAACAGAGGGACGGCUGCCCAUUCUUUAGAGGGAGAGGAGUUGUCAGUUGGGAUGAGAAGAAUUGGGGCCAGGCCUGGCGUGAGAGGUGGAAAACAUGGCCCUGACCUCAUCUCUCUAAAGGUACCUCCUGCCACGGCGAUGGGCAUAUGCCCCAGGAGGAGCAGGGUGCUGGGUAGCUGGUGACUCUAGGCUGGCCUGGAGGACAAUGGAGGGGAGGGAUCCCUGAGCUAAACUUCCUUCCAAUAAGAGAACUCCCUUGUGUAAAAGGAGGGACAGGGGAUCCACUUCUGAUGUGUUCAGUCCUAACGGGCGGGGGUAGGCUGCAGAGCCAGAGGAGGGGUCUCACAAGUUCAGGACUCAGAUUAGGAGUGGUCCUGGUUGGUGACAAUGGCUGAGGCAUAGAUGAGGUCAGACAGGCUGCCCAACGAGGUCUGGGGAGUAGCUCGUUCUGAAGAAAGGUGGGUCGCUGAAGCCCCAGCUGGUCCCCAUGGGGCUACAGCUUUAGCCCCUGCCCGGCCCUGCCCUGGACCCAAGCCAGGAGCUGAGCAGGAGGCAUGUCUACACAGUGAGGCACACUGAGGCGUGCUGUUGGAGGGCGGGAGCUGGCCUAGUUUUCGGGGCUCCCGGGACUGCUGGAGGGUGUCUGGAAGAGAACGGGCUCUUGGGGGGGGCUCUGGCCUCGGGCUUAGGCCUCCUGCCUUCGUAUUCUUGAUUCUCUUGGCCCGGCGGUUCUGGAACCACACCUGGUAAGGGAAAAAGGAAUCUCUUCUGGCUCCAACCACCCUCCCCCAGGUACAGGGAAAGCAAAACCUGGAGGCAGGAUACCCAGAGGAAAGGGGCUGUGUGAGAGUACCCCCACCCUGAGAGGGGGUCACUGCUCACCUGUAUCUUGGCCUCAGGAAGGCAGGUGACCCGGGCCAGGUGCUCACGGGUGCCAAUGUCCGGGUAGGGCCGGGCUGCAAACACCCGCUCCAACUCCAGCAGCUGCCCUCUGCUGAAAGUGGUCCGCUUUCUCCGGUGGGGACCCAGCCCACUGGCAUGGCCUGUGGGCCGGAGUAGGGGUCAAGCUGGGGCUCCCCGCAAAAGCCUCCAUCCCAGCCUCAAAACCCCCAGCUGACCCUGAAGCCUCUACUCCACUCCCCUGCUUCAGCCUUUCCUCAUCACACCUUCCCCCUCAUUCUCCCCCUGCCCACCCUUUCCCCACCAGAUCACCUGUUGAGGAUGCAUCCACAGGGCUGGCCAUGGAGCCGGCAGAGAAUGAGGAGCCGGAGGGCCAUGCCAAGGCUGUGCCCACACCACCCCUCCUUGUGGGGUUUUAUCCUGCUCAGAAGCCUGGCCCCGCCUCCAGGAGGGGAGAGGUUUCAUCUCGAGCCGAUGGGGAGCAGAGAAGUCCCAGAGGGAAGAGUGGAAGCCAGGGACAGCGUUGGGUUUGUGUGAGUAUGGAUGGGGCAAAACUUCUCUGGCCCCUGCUCCUCCAGGGCCUCACAAAGAAAGCUGGUCUGAGCCCUUCUCCUCACACCCCACACCCCACAGUCUGUGGCUGAAAUCCUGUACUUUGUGAAAAUCCUCCCAGGAUUUGCCCGGAAGGAAGUCAAAGAGAUCCUUCUCUCUAGCACUCCCACUGCUUCACCUUCCUCCUUGGAGCCCUCAGUGCCCCAGUGCCCCAGUUCCCCCAGGGGACGGUGGACGAAGUCCUGUGCCACAACCUGGGGCUGGGCUGGUGAAGCUGGACAGGAUGAGGAGGCUGACAGGGAGACGGCAGAUGAACCGCAGCCAGUCCGCCCUCAGCAGAGCUGGAGAGCAGAUGUUACCACCAGCUUGCCCUCGGGUCUGCUUUAAAGAUUUGCCUGCACCGAGCCCUGUCUCCAUGGCCCCUUGAGAGCCCAGAUGGGCUUCUUGGAGUCCAGAAACCUUGGAGUCCAGGAAUCAGAGGAGGUUUCACAGGUACAAUCGAGGAGUUUUAAGAAAGAUGCUUGUUUGUGUUUGUGUUUUGUUUUGUUUUGUUUACAGAGUAUUCAUCCUUGUAAGUCUUCUGAGUCCCUUUUCUAAGAGAAGUGGGUGCAUUUGGAUUUCCUUUGAGUUCUUGCCCUUUCCACUCCUACUCUCAGUGCCCCAGACCCCAGACCCCAGACCCAAGACAGAGGCCUCAAAGAAAGGCUCAUCCUAGGGGUGGGUUUGGGGAGCAUGCUGACCAGUUCCCUAGGCUAACCACCUUGCAGGCUCAGAAGGGGCAGAAAAGCGGAACCAGAACCGCUUGCCCUCUGCCCCAUCUCUCUCCUCCAAGACCCUAGUAAACUCCGAGAGGCAAAGGAAGCCCAGGGCUGGGAAAGGCACUUGGUGGCUCCUGUCAUCACCAGAGCUGUUCAAGCUCCGCCAAUGUUGGUAGGCUGGUAGGGGCUCCUUAGCUCAAGAGGAAGCCUAGCACUCGUGAGGCCCUCCCCAGGCCGGAGCUUUUCCGGUUCACGGAGAAAGCCUGAGCCCAACCUGGACUGGACACAAGGACACUCUCCUCCUCCAAGACUUCGUGACAGCCCAGCUUCCCCUCCUUUCCCCAGGCAGAUCCCGGUCUCUGCCUGUCCACUCCAGUCAGGACAGCAGUCUUAAACUCAGGACCAAGGGGUCUUUAUUGGGAUGGGCGGAAGUGGUUGAGGAAGGAACAGUGGAGGGCCCAGCUGUGCAGGCUCCGAUUCCUACUGGCGGCCAGGGGCUGGGCAGCCCAGCCAGUACUGGGCGAUGGAGCGUGGGUAAGGAGGGCUCACGGUGUCCACUUGCCGUGUGCGAAGGUUGACUCGGUAGUACUUGUCUGGAAGAGAGAUCAGCAGAGGGUGUGUGAGACCCAGCCAGGCCCUGCCCACACACCCCUGCCCUGAGAAAGAAGCCCUGGGUCUCUCCCGGAAGGGUGAGUGAACAUCCACAACGCAGCCUAGGACUCCCAGCCUGGCUUUCUGGAGUCACCUCCCAAGGGCCAUGUUCAGCCCAUGCGGACCAGGGACAGCAGGGAAGACCCCAGCUAGACCAGCUACGGGGAUGGCACGGGCUCCCACCUCCUGAGAAGAAGUAAACACUUUGGAUGGGCUCGCAGGUGGCAGGCACAAGCCAGUCCAUGUCGUAGUCACGAUAGUUGUAGAUGCCCAGGCUGUCCUCCUCACUGGAGAGCCAGGACAGCCAGGCUGAACGGGACUGCCGGUGGGGGUUCUGGCUGCGGCCUCGGCCACGGUUACGGCGUGAGCGGUAGCGUUUACGGUUACGCCGCCUAGACUUCUGCUUCUUGGCCCAGGAUUGGGGAGCUGAGCCUGAGACGUAGAUGCGGCCGGCCAUGGCCGCAUCCACUUGCCUGGGCACACCAGGCCAGUCCCGGCUGAUGAGCCGGGGCUGUCCAGCACCGCCUGUGGCAGGGAAGAGGUUAAUGAGAGCGUUGUGGGCCUGGAGAGUUCAUCUGGUGCCCAACUAUGGGCCGUGCCUUGCUUGAGGGCAGAGCAAGCUCAUGGCAGAGCACAGCACCCCAGCCCUCUGACUCUGUUCGGUGCUCUUUUCCCUAGCCUUCCUCCACUGCAUCCCUCCCCACUUGCCUCAGUCAUAGGCCCUCCUCCUGCUGGCUGUGCCCUCAGCUGCACUAGGCAAAGUCCAAGGUGUGGGGUCCAGGUGGACCUCCCCCCAAAGGUCAACAGAAGCAAAGUCUGGCUUGAGCAAACAGCUUUUGAACCCCAGCUCCGCAAUCACGGCCCCCUCCGGCCAGCCUUGCCCUGUCCCUACCCUGGAGAUCCCAGCCCUCUUGAGGAGAAAGCGAGGCUUGCUCUCCCUCCCUCCAUACCAGAGAAUCUGUUCCCGAAGAGAAAUUCAAAGAGGGUCUCCCAGCUGUCGCGCUGCAGCAGGGCAAAGUGUUCAAACACUGCGGACAGGGAGCUGCCUUCACAUUCCUCCUGACUGGGCUGCUGCUGGAACUCAUACUCCCAGUACUGUCUCCCUGAGUGGGGAAAUGGGAUGGGGGGAGGUUCAUGAGUGAGGCCAGAAAGCCAGCGCCAAGGCUGCUGGAGACAGGAGCUCCUGGCCGGGGAGUGGGAGUGCCGAACGUAAUUUGAGGCCUCCCCAUAGAGGAGUGUGGAGGAAAGCCCAGACUGCCCCACUGCCUGCUCUUUUCCCCACCCACUCCCUUAAUACCCUUGAAGAAGUAGGCCCGCUCCCGGCCACUGUAGCUAUGAGCAGGGAGAGCCAAGGCUGCAUCCACGUUGUCCGGAAUGCCCUUGAAGCCUUCAGAGAUGUUGCGGGGGUAAUCUGGGUCCAGAACACCAUCCUCGAAGCGCCAGUACUGAUGACCCUAAGCGGUAGGGAAGGAAGGGGGAGUGAGGAGGUGGCUGGCUGAGCACAGGCCGAGUCCCCCACCCCAGGCAGCUGUCCCAAUUCUAGGCUUGUUGCCCAGGACCUGGAGCCUUGGGCUUUCCCGUCCUCAAGAGCCCCAGCCAGGGACUGCAGGCUGUGAUCCAGCCAUCUUGCCCGCCCUAGUACUGGGCACAGCAGCCCUCAACCCCUGUCUAGAUACCCUUGGCUCUGACCCAUGGCCCCUGGGCCUGGCACCUGGAAGAGGUAGGUCUUCCCCUGGCAGUUGAUGCGGGUGAAGGCAGCAUCAAUGGGGCCCUCAAUGCCCCAGACAUCUUGGAUAAGCUUGGGGUACCCAGGGCUCACUGCCUCUUCAUCCAGUUCAUAACAGUACUGCCCUAGAAUGGGAGAGUCUGUGUGAGGGAGGGGUUGUCCCAGAGGCAGACCCCCACCCCCCAACACCCGCCCCUGGAGUCACCUCGGAAGGCAAAGAGGGAGCCAUUCUUGAGGUCAGUGAAGGCGUCAAAGGGCUUCCCACUGCAUAGCUCUUCCACCACCGGGGACUCAGGGAUGUCUUGAUCAGAGGUCUCAGGCCCCAGGGUCCCCUGUGUAGGGUUCAGAAAAGGUUCCUCGAAGGUCUCCUGGUUGGGAGACACUUCAGUCUGGGCCUGCAGGUCGGGACCCUGGCUGGUGCUCUCCGGCUGUGGGAGGACACUGCUGUUGUCUCUGGUCUCCUCAAAGUAGUUGUAGAUCCCGUACUCAUCUUCUGGCAGAGUGAAUACAUCCCCACGCGUCACUGUGGGCACAGUGGGUGGUGGUGAGUCUCCAGCUGCAGAGGGGACCCCGGGCCCAUCCAGCCCCUCCGGACGCACCUUGGGGUUUGCACUCAGCCACGUAGUCCUCACAGCAGCUCUGGUAGUAUGAGCAGAGCUCGUCACACUGGCACUUCCUGUCAGCGUUGAAGCCCUCUGUGCAGCGGCCCUUGCACGACUCUGUGGGGAGGAGAUAGAGGGGAUAUCAGUUGGCACGGCCAAGCCCAGACCGCCCUCGCCCACCCUUCGUUGACCCAAACGACCACCAACACCCUCUUGCACCUUGGUCAGCCAGAACAACCCAUGCCAGCAGGGCAAGUAUCAGUAGGGGCCUUGGGGAUGCCAUGGCAGGGCCUCCAGCCUCUAGCCUGGCUGGCGAACUGGGCUCUGGGCUCCCUCCAAUCUCCACUGUGAUGCGGGAGAGCGGGGGACAGGGAGGGAAGGAGCCAGAGGAGAGGAGCUGCCUUCUCUGCUGCUCUAUUUGCUCAAUCUCUGGCCCAGCCCCCAGUGCCCCAGACCCCAGUGGCUGCAAAGGUCACGUUCCUGGAACUCUGGACCCGAGAGAACAGUGAAUAGGAUCCUUGCCAAGCUCGGUGUCAUGUCAGAAGGGGAAUAGCACCAUGGGUCUGAAGGUCAGAAAGAAGGCCCACUGUGCCACUCAGAGGCUGCGUGACCUUGGGCAAACUGUUUUGCCUGCCUUGGUAUUCUUUUUGGUAAAGUGAGACUGUUAAUACUUACCUCAUGAUGUGUUGGGGGUUACAUGAGCUAAAGCAGACAAAAUGCCUCAUGCCUGGAGUAGCGCCAACUUCAUUCUCCAUAAAUGGUUGUUUAUCUGCGAUCUGUUUGAACAGGCACAUCCCUGGCUGAGUGUGUCACCCACCCGUUGUGUAUUUAGGGCAGUCAAAGGGGGGUUGAAGGAAUGCUGGUAAGCACCCUGGGGGAAAUUUUUUAAAACUCUGUUUAAAAAAACAAUAACAGAGUUUCGUGUUUAGGUUCACCUCUUGGGUGCAUUGAUUUCCCCAAGCUGGUCUUCACAGCACAGCAAAUUGGGUGAAUAUUAACCAUUUGGACUGGAUUUGAUUCCUCGGUCUCCUGCUCAUUCACUGCUCCCUGUCUCCACCUUCAGUCUCCCCAUCCGCAAAGAAUAGCCUAGUUCUUGGCACUUUUAGACUCUUUUGAGAAGUAGCAUCCCUCUUUCCAGAAAACGCCCCUGGCACAGAACGCCUGAUUUUGUGCCAAGGGUUGGGGUCCACAGGCUUCCUGAAACCCUCCCACUACCUGGAAGAAAUGAUUCUGAGUUUCCAACUGAAUUUUUCUCUUCCGUAACCAGAGAGGUGGGUGACUUGGGGGAAACUCUUUUCUAUGAGCUUCAGUCGGUUCAGCUGUUAAAUGGGAACACUAAUCUCGACCCCCUAAAGCAUGUUGCAAGGCUUGAGAAACGGGCCUAAAGGGUCUCGAGAGUUGUACCGAAUCGUUAUUAUGGUUGAUCUCACCACAGUUAGGGCAGGGCGCACGCUCCACGGUGUCGCCUUCUCGUUGCAGUGUCGGGGGCACGGGGUCGGCGGGGGGGGGGGGGGGGGGGGGGGGGGGGGGGUGCGUUGUGGGAUAGUGAGGCUGUCCUAUCGCUCUGCACCCUCUUCCCCUAGUCGCCUCGCCCACCCCUCCGCAGGGCGUGGGCGUGGCUGGGGAAGCUCGGGUGCAGGCUACGCAGGCGGCAAGGGAGGAGUCCCACGUGACCGAGGGGCGGAGUGUCGGCUCCCUCGCUGCGGCUUGUCCGAGGCGGGGCUGCUGCAGAGCAUCUUCUGGCUGGAGCCGCGCUUUGUUCUUGUUGCUGCCUCCCAGACCUGCUGACGUCUGGGUCCAUCCCUCGCUCCCCUCUGGCUCCUCCUGCCCACCCUCUACAUCUGAGCCUGCAUCCUUUUACCCAAAAGCUCCUUUCCAGAUCCCGCCCUCGCCCCUCCCCCAAACUUCUGGCCAGCGCCCCUGCCUGGUACCCUUUUAUCCAUCCCUCUCUCCUGCACCUUCUACCUGGUCCCCAUCUCCUGUCCUCCUCUUCCCAAGUUCCGGGGCGCUCCGCCCGGCCCCGCCCCUCCGGACCGGGGAUGUACCCCGCAGCCCCGCGCCCAUGGUCCUGACGCUGCUCCUCUCCGCCUAUAAGCUGUGCCGCUUCUUCACCAUGUCGGGCCCAAGGCCAGGCUCUGAGCGUCUAGCGGUGCCGGGGCCAGACGGGGGCGGCGGUGCGGGCCCAUGGUGGAUCGCGGGCGGCCGGCGGCCCCGCGAGGUGUCGCCCGGGGCGGGCGCCGAGGUGCAGGGCGCCCUGGAGCGCGCGCUGCCCGAGCUGCAGCAGGCGCUGUCUGAGCUGAAGCAGGCGGGGGGCGCGCGGGCCGUGGGCGCCGGCCUGGCCGAGGUCUUCCAACUAGUGGAGGAGGCCUGGUUGCUGCCGGCCGUGGGCCGAGAAGUAGCCCAGGGUCUGUGCGACGCCAUCCGCCUGGACGGCGGCCUCGACCUGCUGCUGCGACUGCUGCAGGCGCCGGAGCUGGAGACGCGGGUGCAGGCCGCCCGCCUGCUGGAGCAGAUCCUGGUGGCUGAGAACCGGUAGGGUGCUCACGGGCUGAGGGGAGAGCGCGGGGUGCUGUGGGGCAGCAAGUGUGGUCGACAGCCCGGGUCUCUCGUGCCACUCUCUGUGCCUUUUCCUCCCUCACCUCACCAAAUCCCUGUACUACACCCCCUCUGGGGAUCAGCGUGUCCAUUUCACAAAUGAGGCAAAUGAGACUUCGGAAAGUUUAAUGAUUUGCCACAACAGGUAAACUAAUAGUGCAGCCAGGAUUCACUCCCCAGACUGGUGACGUGAGGAAUGAGACAGGGAGAGGAAGAAUAGAGUAGUUGGACAGGAAUCUGUUGCUGGUUCAGCAUGGAGCUGCCAGUGCCCUCUGAACCCACAGACCUCCUCCCCACAGGCCCAGAUGCCCUUCUUUGCUACCUUCACUCUGCCACUGAGAAAGGAAGAGAAAACAGUGCUCAGGAAAUGGGGUAGGAGGAGGAGAAAUGAUUGCUGAAGUGAGUGCUGACCUAAGGGUUACUUGCCCCCUUUGUGCCACCCCCAAUCCACCACCUGCUUCCUCCCUCUUCAUUUUGGCCCAUGUAACAGGCCAGACAUGAUCUCAUUCUGCAGCUGCUAAUGGGGAACAGAAGGUUUUCUACUGGGAUGAAUGGGCAAGAGAAGAGGAAACAGGUGCAGAGCUAGGCAGGGGCUAGAGUAUGUGUUCUCUGCCCCCCCCCAUAGAUCCAGUAGGUGGGGUCCAACUGAGGCCUGGCUGCGACUCUCUUGUCUGCCUCUUGGGAUCUCCCCUGGACCAUGAGGACCCUCGCACUCAUUUUCUCUCUCAUCUGAUGUCAGAGCAGACCAAACUGUCACGCAGCAGUCUCAUGCUGAAUUCUCAGGCCUCUCAGGUGUAGAAGGGUCUUGCAAGGGUCACUUUGAAUUCAUGCAGCUGUCACAAGUGUGAGGCCAUGGGUUAGAGGUGCUUUCCUUGCCAUUUUCAAAAAUGAAAAAUAACUUUGUGGAUGGUGGAAAUAGUACAGUCCACGAAUGAAGCAAGUGAAGCUGGGAGAGCAAGUUAGGGUUCUGCUUGCUCAGAAAGUCAUUGAUUUCCCAUCUAACAUCAGUGAAUUUGGAGGGCUAGCAAACGGAGUGGGUGCUCACUGGAUGUGGUGCACACAGGUUGGCGGGUGUACCCUGUAGGUCUGAUAUGUGAGAUGUGGCAGCUAUAAUGAGAACUCUUGGGGAGUGGGUGCAGCCAACACCCGAGGAAGAGGAGGGCUGCAAGAUGCAAAUUGCACUGACGUUUUUAAAGGUUGAAACUAACAACACUCCUCUGGUUUAGAAUUACUAACUCCUGGUCUCAGGAAACAACGUGGUGGUGCUGACAGCCCUUCAGGACCAAGGACAGCGUCUAGCACGUCCUGUCACCCUCGAAAUUUUGAGAGAUGAUACACUGAGAAUUUGAGUUUAUGAAAUCUUGCCCUUCCUUCAUCAACCAACCUCCUCUUAAAGAAAGUUCCUCAAUCAAUGCACACACUCCUUUUCCCAUUCCCUUCUUCCCAUAGUGCUGCCACACCCACUGCCUGGGAGCCUCCAUCACAGUGUCCCUCACUCCCAAAUGCCAAGAAAAGCCCAACAGCGGAGGAACUUUUGAACUUGGUCCCAUGACAUCCAGUGAGGGUGUGACUGCUAGCCUUUGCAAUUUACAGUGUAGCCCCUUCAGGGGACCAUAAUUAGGUUAAAUGGCUUAACUCAGGUUAAAUGGCUUUCCCAGAAAUACACAGUAAAUAAGGGAGGAGACAUGUCUUAAAAAAAAAAAAAUCAGGAGUGCCUGAGUGGCUGUCAUUUAAACCUCUGACUCUUGAUCUCAGCUCAGGUCAUGAUCUCACGGUUUGUGAGUUCGAGCCCCGCAUGGGGCUCUGCAUUGACAGGGGGAACCUGCUUGGGUUCUCUCUCUCUCUCUCUCUCUCUCUCUCUCUCUUUUUCUCUCUCUCUGCCCCUCCCAGCUUGCACUCUCUCUCUCUCUCUCAAAAUAAAUAAAUAAACUCAAAAAAAAAAACCCCCACAAAACCCAGAAAGCUAUUGCAUAUAAAUUCAAAAAGUGCAAAGAUACAAAAAGAUACACGCUUUCUACCCAGACCCCCUCCCUAGAGACAAACCAGGAAGCAAAACAAGUUUCUUGCACAGUAUGUCCUUCCAGAGAAAUUCUGUGCAUUUACAAGAAUUUACACACAUAUGUAUAUUAUAUAUACCUGCUUGUAUGUGUGUCUGUGUAUGUGUACAAUUUCUGCCCUCCUUUGGAGCUGGGAUUUGAACCACAGCCUCUGGGGCUGCAGAAGCUGGGAUCUGAGUCAAUAGUUCUCACAACAAGCACACAGUUCAAGCUCUCUGAGGGUGUCAAGUGCAUAGGGAAAGGGGAGGACUGGGAAUUAAGAGACUCAGAAUGAAGUCCUCUCUCUGAAUUGAUGUUCCUGAGCAAGACUUUCUCUUCAGUGGUUCUCAGGAAAUGAAGGUGUUGGAUCAGAUGACUGCUUAGACACACUCUGGUCCUGAUAUUCUCAGAGUUUAUGUAGUCAGAUUGUUCUGGAAGCACAAAGUAGAGAUCAAGGAUCAUGACCUCUGAUCAUCCUCUGAGCAAAGUUGUGUUGGCCUUAUGCCAUGUUAGGGGUUCAGCUGGGACCUGCAAUGGACACAAAGUCACAAGCACUGUGGUCAUUGUGGUGCUCAUGGGGCAAGGACUCCAUGGCUGGAAUCUUCGGGGGUCAUGUCACUUGUGGAGGACAUCAUUUGUGGAGGUCAGGAAAACAGAAAACUCUCACCUCUGCCUGGAGUGUGGCAACUCUCCUGCCUGCCCUGCUGGCAUCCAGGCUCCCUCCCUGGGAUCCUUCCUCCCUAUAGCAGCCAGAGUGAGUUUCCUGUGCAACUAUGCAACCCAAGCAAGAGCAGACCACUCCCCUUCCUGAAGCCUUUCAGUGGCUCCCCAUUUUUGAUCAAGAUGUGCACUUCACAAAUGCCUCUAGAUGGUUCAGAAGGCCCCCACCACUCUCCCUACUCCCUCCCACCUUGAAACUUCCACCUCAGCCACUAGAAAUGGCUUCACUUCAGUGUGGCUGCAGUGGGGACAGGUCCCCAAGUGCACGAGUUCUCAGAUACCUCCUAGCCUUUGUAUACAUACGUGCCUAGAAUACAGUCUCCACAAUCUUCCCUUCUCCUCUUCAUUAAUGUCCCACUUCCUUCCUUCCUUCCUUCCUUCCUUCCUUCCUUCCUUCCUUCCUUCCUUUACUUUUCUUUCUUUCUUUCUUUCUUUCUUUCUUUCUUUCUUUCUUUCUUUCUUUCUUUCUUUCUUUCCUAGAUUUUAUUUUUAAGUAAUCUCUGCUCCCAACGUGGGAUUCAAACUCACAACCCCGAGAUCAAGAGUCUCAUGCACCACCGACUGACCCAGCUAGGUACCCCUGUCCCACCAUUUUUCUGAUUUAAUGCCAUAGGCACCCAUUCAGUAUAUUUAAUGCAUAUCUUUAUAUCCUUAUCCUGGUAAAAUCUUUAUUUUCUUGUUUGGUGUUCAUAUAUUUUUAGUUUACUCAAAUAGUGCUGUGUUACAAAGCACAUUUCAUUUCUUACUUUCACCCACUCAUUAAUAUGUUUUUAAUAUUGUUGUUUUAUCAUCUGUUCAGUCACUUGUAACUGCUCCAUAGUCCUCCAGAGUGGUCACCUGCCCGUGUUACCUCUCCACUCUCCAAGGCUUGACACCAGCCUGCUGCCAUCUUCCCCCACCAAAAACAAUCCUGCAGUGAACCUUUUCCACAGACUUUUGUGGACUGUGAUACUUUCUUGAGCUGUAAGCUCAAGAGCUCCAAUUCCUGGCUUGUAGGAUGUCUAUCUCCUUAAUUUCACCAUGCAUCCCAGCCUGUUUUCCAAGUUGACUGCCCUAGUGUGCACCUCCACCCAGAGAGCGUCAGCAUUUUCAUGGCCCCACACCUCAUCAACCUUCUGUGUUACCCAGCUUUGCUUUUUGCCUAUCCAAUAGGUGUAAAGUGAUAGGUGAUUUUUAUUUAUUUGUUUGUUUAUAUUUUAGAGAGAGGGAAAGUGUGCGCAUGUGCAUUGGGGAGAGGGAGAGAGCAAGAGAAUCCCAAGGAGGCUCGGUGCAGAGCUCCACAGGGCUCAAUCCCACAACCCUGGGAUCACGACCUGAGCUGAAAUCAAGAGUCAGACGCUCAAUCGACUGAGCCACUCCAGCGCCCCCAUGUGAUAGCUGAUUUAAUUUUCACUUCUCUGAUUACUAAGGAUUACAAAUUAUUUUGUUUGUUAACACUUUGGAUUUUCUCUUUUAUAAAUUGCCAUUUAUAUCCUUUGCCAUUCCCUAUUGAAUUUGCUGCCUUUUUCUUGUUGAUGUGAAUAUUUGUAUAUUCUAUAUAUGAAUCCUUGCUGAUUUUGUUUUCUUCCUUGUCGGUUAUAAACAUUGCAGAUCUCUCUGGCCUUCUUUCUAUUCCUCAAACAUGCCAAACUCCCCAGCCCUCAGGGCUUUUGUCCUCGCUGUUCGCUCUGCCUGUCAUGCUCUUUUCCCAGACACUUUCAGGCAGGAGUCUCCAGAUACUGAACUCUCUGAUGUCACCUCCUCAGACAUAUCUCUCCACCCAUGCACUAUCCAUUACAUCACCCGGUUUUGCUAGCAUUACGGCCGCAUCAGUAUCAACCUGUUCAUUCAUUGUUCACCUGCUUAUUGUUUGUCUCCAUAUUAGCUGUGUGUAAGUUCCAAGCACUGUUAAUUAGCCUCUAGCACAGCCUGGCACACAGUAGCUCCUCAAUAAACAUCUGUUGGGUGAAUGAAUAAAUACACCCCAGUCACACUGCAUGGAGUGACGAGAAAGGUUUGAGGGCAAGGCUAAGAGUGCUGUACUUCAAGUGAUACUUCAACUGAUGACAAGUUAACGUCUAGUGAGUCUUCCGUAUGUGCCAGGCACUGUGCAGAGCACUUUACGUGGAUUAUCACAUUCGUUCUCAUAAUGACCCUAUGGGGUAGGUAUUCCUUUUAUUUAUGAGAUGAGGAACAAAGGUAGAAAGAUAAAGGAAGGCACUCAAGGCCCCACAACUUUCUAGAAGAAACCAGGACCCAGGGAAUCUUCUCCAGAGUUAGGGUCCUUAACGGCUACAUGCACUGUGGGGGAGGAGGCAGUGGUAAGGGAGGAGGUGGGGCGGCCAGGAUCGAGCAUCCUUAUAAUCCGAGAAAUCUGCUCCUCCCCAGACAGGAGAUGAAAGGCAGAGGCAGGGAGGAUAAUGCUCUCCCUCAUGUCCUAUAUGACACUAGUGAGGCCAGAGAGGUUAAGUGACCAGACCGUGGCCCCCAGGGGACAAGCCACCCCCUCCCCGGGACUGCCGCCACUCCACCGUCCCAGUGCCACUUUUUCUCGGCAGGGACCGCGUGGCGCGCAUCGGGUUGGGCGUGAUCCUGAAUUUGGCAAAAGAGCGUGAGCCGGUGGAGCUGGCGCGGAGCGUGGCAGGCAUCUUGGAGCACAUGUUCAAGCACUCGGAAGAGACGUGCCAGCGGCUGGUGGCGGCCGGUGGCUUGGACGCGGUGCUGUACUGGUGCCGCCGCACGGACCCGGCGCUGCUCCGCCACUGCGCGCUGGCGCUGGGCAACUGCGCGCUGCACGGGGGCCAGGCGGCGCAGAGGCGCAUGGUGGAGAAGCGCGCUGCAGAGUGCCUCUUCCCGCUCGCCUUCUCCAAAGAGGACGAGCUGCUGCGGCUGCACGCCUGCCUCGCGGUGGCGGUGCUGGCAACCAACAAGGAGGUGGAGCGGGAGGUGGAGCGCUCCGGCACCCUGGCGCUCGUGGAGCCGCUCGUGGCCUCGCUAGACCCCGGUCGCUUCGCCCGCUGCCUGGUGGAUGCCAGUGACACGAGCCAGGGACG